rnacentral:lncRNA from 1 species
UACAUCUUUGAGGUGCAUUAGGCAAAUGUAAGGGCAUGAUGAUGAAUGUUCUAUCACACCACUUCAAAAAGUUUAAAAUGUUACCCAACUUCACAUUUAUUUUCCGGAUGCGCUCCUUGAGUAAAACUAAGUACAUCAAUAAGCCAUUCCUUUUACUUCAAAAGUUGAGCAUCUUGGCCUUUAAUGGACGGGGUUCCAUGUGCUCCUUCGGGAUGAGAAACUCCAAAAUGCAAGAGUUGGACUCCACCUCCCCACAAUCCUCCAUUCGUUUAAAGGUAUGGAUCUUAGUCACAUCCUCUAAACAUAAUAUUAUAGAAUGAUUCAAAUGAGGUGCAACGCUUAAUUUUGGGUUAACCCCCUCCGGAGCAUCUCCACCCCGAAAUAAUCUAGAGUCAUUAUAAGAGAUUUGUGUUGGUUAGUCUCUUGGAUCUAGUACCAUUUCCUUUAUUUGGGGUUCUUCUCUUUUAUUUGAGUUGGAUAGUUAGGAUGCCAUUGAGGAGUCUUCACUACCAAGCUCUUCAUCAUAGUUUGGUUUCUCUUCUUAAUAACACUUCUCUUGGGAAAUGGGUAUUAUAGUGAUAUUUGCAAGAAUUAUUUUCUUUCCCAUUUUUUCCAUAUUGACAAUUUUCCAUGCCAAUGUGUCAUGAUGCAUCUCUUUUACAUUCUCCCCCAUUGCAUCCACUCAAUCCAAAAUGGCUUGAAGCAUUUCUCCAAAAUUGAUUAGUUCGAUAUGUGGCUCCUUCUACUCUUUAUCAUAUGACCUAUCAAACUCAGAAGAAGAAUUAUCAACUUGGUUAGAAUAAUAGGGGGAGGGGGAAUUUAUUCAAUCAUCCCUAUGUCCAUCUUGACUUCCACAUGAAGUGCAAAAAUAUUCUAUAUAAGGUUAAGAUGGUGAUUCUAUCCCUCUCCAGGGAGCAUAGUUACAAUAUUUUGUGUAGUGUGGUCCAUCACAAUAUAGACAUAGGCCAUCAAUAUAUGCGCUCCAACCACUAAAAUAAUAUGAGUCAGAAGGUGCCAUAGCAAAAAGUCAAAUAAAAUAAAAAGCUACCUACGUAAGAAAAUCACAAACAAUUAUUUAUAAGAUUGAAUUCAAGCAAGUAACUAAGAGUGAAAACUAACUUAAUACGCCAAAUUGUUCCCCAGCAACGAUGCCAUUUUUGAUAAUGCUAAACUUAUAUGUCAAUUUGAGUGCAAGGUGGUUGUUGUCAACAUAUUUACCAUACUUUGAAGUCGGGGUCAAAUCCACGAGGAACAAUAUGAGUAGCGAUCAAAUUAAUUUAAAAUGAUAGUUACAAGUUAAAUUCAAACAAAUGGUACCAAAAAGAUAAAAUGAGGGAGCUGAUUUCCUACACUAAUAUUUCUUUUUAGGAUUUUCCAGUGUAAGUUUAAGGUUACGAAUAAUUAGAGUUUUAACAAUUAUGCACGAAUCUUAGGAUUAUGCAUUGCUAAGGGAGUGACAUGCGGGAGUUAGUUAUCAAAAUUAAUUUAGUAAGUCAAAUAUGGGUAGGCUUGGUUAUAGAUCUUAAUGCUAGUCUUUCAAUAAAAUACUAAACUUUAAUCCACUGAUCCUUUCGAAUACCUAAUAGAUGUUCUGAACAAUUAACAACCACAACCUUAAUCAAGACAUCCCUAUUUCUAGGAUGACACCCUAGGCAUAGUCAACCUUACUUUCACCCUUAUUUCUAAGAUAGUAAGAAUUUAGUAAACUACACACAUAAUUGUCUAUCAUUUCUUUGGUCUCUACAUCCGUCUUUCGAGGAUGAUAUAGAUUCCUAAUAUUCAUCUAAAACCCUUCUUUCAAAGAUAGCCUCAGGUUUUUGGAGUUUUCACCCAUCAAGACCAUGUGAGUAUUUGGAGCUUUCACUUAUCAAAUCCCAACCAAAAUAGCAUAGAAAUAAUUGAACCCAUAAACAAGAACUACCAAAUAGGCGCUAACAAUCACAACCUAUACACACUUUAAUCCCUAUUCACACAUAACCCCAAGAGAGAGACCAGGAUUGACUUUCGCAGUUGUGGUUGAAUGACCAUCUUGACUGACCACAGCCGUGGUCCAUAGUAGCUGAGGCUAAUUCACUACAGGUCUUCAGUUGCACUUUUUCUACUCCCGUUUGAUUAAUUCAAGCUCUAAUCCACAUCUCUUUUUCUUUUCAACCCCUAUACCAGCAAUGAGUGGAUAUUGGUGUAUUAAAUCACAAUUAUAACUCCUUUACUCAUUUGAGACAAGGUAAUGUGCAUGAAAAAUGAGUGCGAAUAGGUGGUAAAAUCAUCACUAAUCAAGCAUUUCAUAAAAACAUGUAAAAAUCAUACACUUAAACAUGAGUAUAUCUUAAACACGAGGAAACAAUUGGAUUUUAUGGUUAAACUCAUAACUUGAAGAUUAAUCAUUAAUCCAAUCGAACAUGACAUGUAAAUUCCAAUACUCAAACAUGAUACUAUUUAUUCUACUUGAAAUUACUUGUAACCAUAGCUUGUAAUUAAAUUUCCGAGAGAUUCAUGGAUAUAGUUCAACUUGAACAUUUAAAACUCAUAAUUUGAAACACCAAAAAGUGUUCUUGAACUCCAUGGGUGAAGGAAUCUAUGGAUAAACAUCACACAUACCUCACUGGAUGCAUUCAUGAAGUUUAUUGGGAACUUCAUAAGGUUUGAAGCUUGAAUUCCUUGAUUGUUUAUGAAAGAGUUAGGGUUUGUUUUUGAGGAAAGAGAGGCUUCUUUUGAGGGAAUUUGUGAUUGAAAGAGAAAAUAUUGCUCUUUGAGGUCCCCAAUAUCAUGUUUUUGACAAUUUAGGUGAAGAGAAAAAUACCUAAAUACCUUUAAAUAAUGAGGAACAAAAUCUGGAUAAAAAAAGAAAUGGGGCGACAUGGGCUUUGGAGCACCAGACAGGAGGGGGCAACGCAGAUUUAGAGCGGUGCACAAGAGGGGGUGACAACUGCUUUAUAGCGGUGCACUAUAGGGGCAGCAUAGGAUUAUCCUAGUUCUGCAACUAUUUUGGUGAUUCAAACACUCCCCUACACUUGUCUGAAAAUUCCAAAAUUUACCCAAUACACACUUUGAACAACCCUGAUCAUGAAUCAACUUAAAAAUUGAUGUUAUGAUGUGGGAAAGGUAAAAAGUAAAAUCAUUGAAGUUUAGGGGCCUUGGAAAUGACUAAGUCCAACACUUAGACUAAUUUUUAAGCUUUGGAUCCCUUAUGCAUAGAAAUGAGAGCUAAAAUGAGCUAUGACUUUUAUGGGGUAUUACAAUAUCUCCCCAUGGGAACAUUCGUCCUCUAAUGAGACUGGGUAGCUAAGAAUACUAGGGAAACUAAGAUCAUAAACUGAACAUGCGUGAAUGAAAGCAUGAUUGCAUAACUGGGUCUAAAACCUGAUACAUGAACUGAACUAAAUGUAUGCAUUGACAUGAAAUGGACUACAUAGCUAAAAUUGAGAAUGGAAGAGAGUCAAUCUGAAGAAAAUCGUUACCUUAAGAUAAAUUUGAGUUUGUGAAGAAUAGGUGAGGCUACUUGGUUAGCGUAUCUACUCCUGCUUCCCAAGUGUUUCCCUCAGUAGAUUAAUUCCGCCAAAGAACUUUGACCAAGGAAACUUCUUUGUUCCUUAGUGUACGAACUUGAUUAUCAAGAAUUUUAACCGGGACCUUUUCAAAAUAAAGGUUACCUUGAACAUCUAUUCUUUCUAAUGGGAUGAAGAACUGAAUCACCAAUACACUUCUUCAAUAGGGAAACAAAAAACACUUGAUGCACUGAUGCUAAAUCUGCAGGAAACUCAAGCUCAUAAGCCAUCUUUUCAAAACAACUCAAGAUAUUAAUCGAACCAACGUAUCGGGGACUGAGAUUCCCCUUCUUGCCAAAUCUCUUUACUCCUAUCAUAGGCGAAACCUUCAAAUAAACCAAAUCAAUAACCUCAAACUAAAGAUCUCUUCUUCUAAUAUUUGCAUAGGAUUUUUGAUAGCUUUGGGUUGUUUUCAUCCUCUCCUGAAUCAACUAAACUUUCUCCAGCGUAUCAAAUACUGCAUCUGGCCAUAUAAAAGCAGUUUCACCUACCUCAAGCCAACCAAUAGGAUAUCUAUAUAUCCUUCCGUAAAGAGCCUCAAACGAAGACAUCUAAAUACUGGAGUGAUAACUAUUGUUAUAGGCAACUUCAAUCAAAGGUAAGUGAUAAUCCAAACUACUUAUAAAGUCAAUAACACAUUCUCUCAACAUGUCCUCUAAGUUCUAAAUGGUCUUCUCUUCCCAUCUGUCUGAGGAUAAAAAGUUGUACUAAGAUAAACAUGGGCACCAAGCCCCUUCUGAAAAGCCUUCCAAAAGUCAUAGGUAAACUAAGAACCUCUAUCUGAUAUGAUAGACAAAGAAAUCUUAUGAAAACUACCCAACUCCCUAAGAUAGAGCCUGACAUAAUCUUCAGCUAAAUAAUAAGUAUAAACUAGAAGGAAGUAAGUUGAUUUGGUCAUUCUAUGUAUAAUGACCCAUAUGGAAUCAUGCUGACGAUGCAUGUAAGGAAACCCUAUCACAAAAUCCAUGAUCACUAUCUCCCACUCCCAAGUGGGGAUACUAAACUCAUACAAUAUUCCACUAGGCCUUUAAUAUUCAACCUUAACCAGUUGAAAAUUAGAAAACUUAUCUACAAACUCUGAAAUAUCCCUUUUUAUACCACUCUACCAAUAGAUUUCCCAUAAGUCAUGGUAUAUCUUAGUGGCUCCUGGAUGGAUAUAGUAUCACGCACCAUGCGCUUUUGCAAGUAUUUGCUGCCUUAAGUCAUCAACAAAUGAAACACAUAAUCAACCCUGACAACGAAGUGUACCAUCUCCCCCUUAGGAGAAAGCCUCCACCUUUUGAUCUCUAACCGCCUUCUUCAACUUAAUCAAAUCAGGAUCUUUGUCUUGCUUUUAUUUUACUUUGGGAACCAAGGAUAAUUCUGAACCAUUAUUAACUUAUACACUACCUUUUGCUAAAUCAACCAAUCAAAAACUAAUCUACUACGUUGAUGAACCUCACUAACUAACUUCUUCUUAUCCUUCUUAAUAUGAGCAACACUACCCAAAGUCAACCUGCUAAGGGCAUCUGCUACUACAUUGGCCUUGCUCAUGAUACAACACACUCAUAUCAUAAUAUUUUAACAACUCAAGAUAUCAUAUUUGGCAAAGAUUCAAAUAUUUCUGAGAUAAUACGUAUUGCAAGCUUUUAUGAUCCGUGAACACAUCAACAUGAACCCCAUAAAGGUAAGAAAACAUAACAGUUGCCAAGUUAAGAUCAUGGAUAGGAUAAUUCUUUUUAUGUGACUUAAGAUAUCUAGAGGCAUAAGCUAUGAACUUACCUCUGUGCAUCAACACACAACCAAGACCAACUCUGGAAGAAUCAUAGUAAACCACAAAUCCAUUUGAACUACCUGGCCAUGUCAAUACUGGAGCAAAAGUGAGUCGAGUCUUCAAUUCCUGAAAAAUCUUUUUGCAAGAAUCUGACCAUUGAAACUUGACUUUUUUUUGAGUCAGUCUAGACAUUAGGGAUACAAUAGAAGAAAACCCCUCAAAAAUCCAUCUAUAAUACAUAACUAAGCCUAAGAAACACCUGAUAUCUGAUGGGUAUGGGCCAAUUUCUCACUUCUUUGAUCUUUUGAGAGUUGACUCUAAUUUCGUCACAUAAAAUUAAAUAGCCAACGAAAGCUACCAAUCUUAGCCAAAAUUUGCACUUACUAAAUUUGGUGAACAACUGGUGAGCUCUAAGAGUCUAUAACACUAUUCUCAGAUGGUCUGAAUGAUCAUUCUCAUGAUGGGAAUAGAUAAGAAAAUCAUCAAUGAAGACUAUGAUGAACAUAUCUAAGUACUUCUAGAACACUUUUUUCAUCACGUCUAUGAAAGCUACAGGGUCAUUCCUUAGUCCAAAGUGCAUAACUAAGAAUUCAAAGUGACUAUCCCAGGUUCUGAAGGCUAUCUAUGGAAUAUCAUACCCUCUGACUCUGACCUGAUGAUAGCCAGACCUGAGGUCUAUCUUAGAGAAAUAACUAACACCAUAAAGUUGGUAUAACUAGUUAUCAAUUUUGGGUUGUGGAUACAUAUUCUUAAUUGUGACAUUGUUCAACUAACGAUAAUCAGUGCACAUUCUAAGAGAACUAUCUUUUGUACGCUUAAACAAGACUGAAGCGCCCCAUGAGAAAAAACUGGGACUGAUGAAACCCUUAUCUAAGAGACUUUUUAACUGCUCUUUCAAUUCCUUAAAUUCAUUUAGAUCCAUUCUGUUGGGUGUAAUAGAGAUAAACUGGGUAUCUGGAAGGAGAUCUAUUUCGAAGUCAAUUUCCCUUUUGGGAGAAACUCUGGGAAGGACUUCAGGGAACACUCUAGAAAUUCCCUUACUACUGAAAUUGACUCAAGACUUGCAGUCUCAGAACUAGAGUCUUUGGCUCAAACAAGAUGAUAAACACACCCCGUAGAAAUUAUUUUUCUUAUCUUAAGAUAGGAAACGAUCUGGCCCCUAAGCACAGAGGUAGUAACCCUCCAUUCAAUGAAUGUUUCAUUAGGAAACUACAAUAAAAUGAAUCUAUUUUAGCAAUCAACUAAGUCAUAACAUUAGUGGAGAAAAUCCAUGCUGAGAGUGACAUCAAAAUCAGUCAUCUCUAACUCUAUAAGAUCCACUGAGGUAACUCUAUGGGAUACUGUGAUCAUGCAGUUCCUGUAUACCUACUUGGCUACAAUGAAGCUACCUACUAGAGUAGAUACUGAGAAAGGUUCUACUAAAUAUUUAGGACUGACACCAAAAUCGGCUUCUACAUAAGGAGUUACAAAAGAGAGUGAAACUAUAGGAUCUAAUAAAGCAUAAACAUAUAGAUAAAAGACUUGUAACAUACCCAUAACUACGUUAAGAGAACUUUAUUGAUCUUCUUAGGAUUGGAGUACAUACAAUCUGUUAUGGAAAUGACUACUAGUUGUGCUGGAAGUGGCACUUUGUUGAGUUGGGGACCAGUUGGAAUUGGAGGACAAUUAGACUGACCCUGCUAGCAGGCCUUUGGGCAGUCUGUGACUCUGUGACCUAGCUUUCCAUAUCAAAAACACACAUCACUUCUGACCCUACACACACCCUAAAUAUGCUUGCCAUACUUCCCAUAAAGAGGAUUAGUACGAACACUAUUCAUACUACCCUAAGACUUGGAGCCUGGCGCUCUAUCCCGACUAUCUUGCCUGUACUUAGGAACUAGAGCACUAGCUGAUGAUUGGGCAGUGGCUGAAGACUUUUAACCGAAUUGAGAAUGGUUAUCACUCUAUGACCUUGACUGAGAAAAGUUAAAACUACCUAUUUUGGCCCUCUUAUUCUCUCUCUUUCUUUCUCCUUCAGCUUCUCUUCCAUAAUAUGCUGAGCAUGAACCAUAAGUCUAGAUAAAUCCAUCUUCUUAAUUAACAUUAUGGUCCUACACUCCUUGACAACGCUAUUCGAUACCCCAAAUACAAACUUACUCAUUCUAGACCUGUUAUUAGCCACUAUUGAAAGAGCAUACCUCAACAUUGAGUAAACUUAAGCGAGUAUUCCUUACACUCAUACUACCCUACUUCAAGUUAAUAAACUCCUAAAUCUUAUCCUCCCUCAACUCUAACAGGAAAAAUGUGUCUAGAAAAACUAUGGAAAACUCCUCAUACCCUACAGGCCCCACCUCAGCACCCCUAUCCUCCUUUCACUGCUUAUACUAGGUGUGAGUUAUAUCCUACAAUUAAUAUGUAGCCAAAUCUACACUCUAACUCAAAGUGACACCAAUAAUAUCAGUCACUUUCUAGACCAUAUCAAGAAACUCAUAUGGAUCCUCGUAAGACUUGGAUCCCAAAAACAAAGGAGGAUUUAUUCAGGUAAAGUCCCAAAUACUAGCUGCAGCUGUAUUUGCCAAUAGAUUAGCUGAGGUAUCAACCUAUUGAUUAUUCUAAAAAGUUACUGCAUAACCUAAAGUAGUAAAAGAAACUCUGAAUUCAGCGUGCAAUACAUGUUUAUUCAAAGAAUCUUCCUGAACUGGUGGUGGUGCGGGCUGAUUCCUGCUAUUUCUUGCAUUAUUUCUUUUAGGAGGCAUUGUUUGUUAGCGGAAUGAAGGAUGAGUUAGAAAGAGAUUUUUGGUAGAUCUCAUGCUCUUUUGAAUGACAUGAAUACUAAAAAAAGGGAAACUUUUCCUAAAACAUCUUGUAGACUCUUGUCCAUAAGUUGGGUGCACUUUAUACCCAUGCACAAGAAUUUAAUCAAUGUAACUUUUAGACUCCAUAGGGUACUUUAAAAAUCUAGGCUCUAAUACCAAGUUUCACCCCCCCAGUCAUGACAAUGGUUCUUACCGUCACAGGUGACCAUAAUUUAACCCAUGAGCUGAUACCUAUUGUGAGCACUGAAUAAAUAUGAACAUAAAACCUGUGUGAAAAAUAAACUUAGACAGAAAAUAUAGAUCUGAAUACUGAAAUACAGAAUCAAUCAUAAGUUUAAAACAUUUGAUAAAAACUGAAAGUAACUGACUGACUGUCUGAACGUCUCAAAGCGUCUAAACUUACUGAGUUAAUGGUACAUACCCCAACUAACUCUGACUAAUUGAAUAAAAUAAAAUACUAAAAUAAAUGAAUAAACAUAAUAUAACCUUGAUGGAUAAGGACUAACCACUACAACUGUUGGAUUAUGCUGAGCUAUCUAACUGCGAUCGAGAAACUGUAUGUCCAAACCUACAAUAUAAGACAUCAUAACAAAAAGAAGAGUAUGCAGUCAGUACUUUGAAUGUACUGGUAUAUAAGAUGAGGUUAGGUUAAUAUAUAUAGGGUACUGUGCAUAUGAAGUAAGGACUAAUAGAAUAGCAUGAUAUAACUGAACAUGAAUGCAUGAAAACUGUAAUAUAUGAGAAUGCAAGACCAAGAAUAAACAUAUAUUUGAAAUAAUAUAUAAACUAGACUAAAAUCUGAUAGCUUAAUAACUGAGAAACUAUAUGCUUUGGUCAGGAAAAUUUGGAUUUAAACUAUACUGAAUACUAUACUAAGAUCAUGGGAGGUAUCAUCUAACUGACAUGCCUUAAUCUGAGAUAAUUGGGGUUCCAACCUAUAACUUCAGUUGGAAGGGUUUUAGUACCGUGCCACGGGUACUAAUACUGGCUGUGUGGAUCCACUAAACUGGUGUCCCAAAAUACUAAGGAGUCAUCCUUAACUGGUAGGUACUCUAAAGAGAUAUGUGUCACCCUCAACUGGCAGGUAAAUACUUUGACAACCUUCAACUGGCAGGUAGACACUUCUAACCUAUGCUGACUAUGUAGUUCUAUAACUCAGGGAUUGUGACUAAGGGUCACACCCUUUACUGUAAGGUGAGCCAUCAUCCCUGAGUUUGCUCUAAGCUAAAUCCUACAUCCAAUUAAACUAACACUGAUACUGUAAUGGAAUGAACUAAACUGAACAUUAUUACAUAGAUGAUAGUGCUCAUCAUGAUUAUAAAUAUGUAAGUAUACUGAUAUUAACUAUUUGAUUACUUGAAAAGCAGAAUUCAUCUAAAACAAAUAGGUAUCAAAUAUUCAUGACCCACCAGCACUGAAUGAACAUGAGUAUAUGAUAUCAAAAUUGAAAUAUACUAAUACGUGAUUAUGGUUAAAUGACCCAAAUAUGGUAUACCAUCAAAACAUGUGAAAUUGUACACUUAAACAUGAGUAUAUCUUAAACACAAGGAAAUAAUAGGAUUUUAUGGCUAAACUCAUAACUUGAGGAUUCAUCCUAAAACCAAUUGAACAUGACCUGGAAAUUCCAAUACUCAAGCAUGAUAAAGUUCAUUCUACUUGAAAAUACUUGUAACCAUAGCUUGUAAUUGAAUUAACAAGAGAUUCAAUCACUUAGUUCAACUUAAACUUUAGAAAAUCAUAAUUUAAAAUACUAAAAAGGGUUCUUGAACUCCAUGUGUGAAAAGAACCCAUGGAUGAACAUCACACACACCUCACUAUAUGAAUUCGUGAAGAUUCUUGAGGUUUGAAGCUUGAAUUUCUUGGUUGCUUAUAAAAGAGUUAGGGAUUGUUCUUGAGGAAAGAGAGACUUGUUUUAAGAGAAUUUCUAAUUAAAAGAGAAAAUAAUGCUCUUUAGGGUCCCCAAUCUCAUGUUGUGGACCAAUUGGGUAAAGAAAAAAGACCUAAAUACCUUUAAAUGACUAGGAAUAAAAUCUAAAUAAAAACGAGAGGGGGAGACAUAGGAUUUGGAGUUUCGGACUGGAGGGGGUGACACAAUUGUAGUGCACUGGAGGGGGUCAACGUCUACUUUACAACAGUUCACUAUAGGGGGUGGCGCAGGCUUAUCCCGGUGCUUCUACUAUUUUGGUGAUUCAAACACGCCUCUAUGCUCGCCUUAAAAUUUUAAAACUCACUUGAGACACACUUUGAAUAACCCCAUUCAUGAAUCAACUUAAAAACUGACUAUUUGAUGUCGAGAAGGUCAAAAAUAAAAUCGUCAUAGUUUAGGGGCCUUGAAAAUGACUAAUUCCUAAUAAUUAGGCUAAUUUCUAAGCUGCGGACCCCUUAUGCAUGCAACUGAGAGCUGAAAUGUGCUACGACUUUUAUAGGGUAUUAGAAAAAAGAAACAAAUUCUAGUAGAAAAUUGGAUCUCAAAACCUUUGAUAUCCCAAAAGAACAACCGUAGGUAAUCCAAACUAAUCAUAGAGCUAUACGAUUUGCAACAAAUUUGACCUUCGACCACAUUAAUUCUAGAAAAUGCUUGAAAAGUGUUGCCAAAAGUAUUCAAGGGCAUGCUUUCAAAAUAUGGUCUUUGUUUAUGACUUUUAGCUAAUAAACUUUUGGCAACAUUUAUAGACUAUGUUGUUUAUAAUUAUAGGUUCACUUUUUAAGCAUUGCCAAAUCAUAAAAUAUCAACAAUGCUUAUUUAUACAUAUACCACACUGUUAAGUGUGUUAAAUUUAUAAUUAAAAAAAUAAUAUUUUAAAAUGUGCUCUAUCUUUCCUCAUUAAAUUUUAGCUAAAAUAAUAAUAUCCCCUUCAUAUCUAUUCUCCACCUAAUUUCUUAAGAAACAAGAGGUAUUAUCAACCCUAAAUUUCAUUUUUAAGGGUGUCUUAGCCUCUCGCUAUUGUCUCAAUUUCACCUCAUAUCCAUAAAACUUUCCAGCAAAAUCGCUUCACUAUUACAAGUUUCUUCAUUGAAUCCACAUCUUAUUUUUCUGUUAGACCAGAAUACCAAGAUGAUGUUCCCACUACGUUUUUUCAGACAAAGGUUGAACUUCAUUUAUAUUUAUCAUUCUAUUUAAAUUCAUAUUAAUAUUGCUUAUACACACAAUUUUGUAUAAAAAAGGAGGUUUAAGACAUUGAAGUGAAUCCUAGAUUAAGAUUUAAUAAGUUAAACCUUUAAGUUCUUACCAUUUACGUAAUUGGUUACACUUUUUAAAUUAUGAUUCAAAAACAUCACUAAUUUACCAAAUGUAUUCAUGCUCUAGUUGAAGAUACUUAGAAUUUUACUUUAAUCCUAAACUCAAAUUUUUUCCUCAAAUAAGUAUUUUUGUACAAAUCAAUAAAUGGAAGUAAGAAUUUAUAUUUCUAGAUCACUGAUGUAGAAGUCAUCAAUCUCAUUAAAUACUCAUAUAGAAUGUUAUGGUCCAUAGAAACCUUCAGUUAAACUAUCACCAGCAUGAUCAAGGAUGGAAUUUCUCCCUCAAUGUUCUUCAACAUACGAGGUAACAUGAAAGACAUGAAAGGGGGAACUUAGUGUAUGCAAAAGGAGCGAUCAUGGAAGAUACAACUAAUUUACAAGUAGAAGCAGAAAUUAUAUGCAUUACAUUCUAAUAAGGCAUACAUCGGCAAAGUUGUCCUAUAAACUGAUUCACUAAGCAUGCUAAAGUUUUUAAAAUAACAAUGGGAAUGUCCAUGGAGUAUAGAGGAUAAAGUCAAUCAAAUAUGGAAUUUAUUGCAACAUAUAGAAGUUCAGUAUUAGCACAUUCUAAGAGAAGGGAAUAAAUUGGCUGAUUACUUUGCUAAUUAUGCAUUUGUAGUAAAUGAACUUACUUUCACAAGUUUUCAACAGAUGCAGAUGACAAUCAAGAAAAUACUCAAUAGUGAUAAAUCUCAGAUACAAUACUUGAGAUUGUCACCUCAAAAAGGGUAGAUUAAGCAAGCCUAAAUAUGGAAUCUUACAAAUGGGUAACUUUGUAAUCUUGGCGAUGUUCAAAUGCUUGGAAUCUACACUGAGAUCUUCUUCCUGUCUGAUACAUGGUUACAACAAAUCAUUGCGAUGAAUCAAAGAGGGAUUAUAACACACAAGGAUAGAUGCUACUUACUUAGGGAGAGCAACCAGAUACAGGAUACUACGAUCUUCGAAGGUGAUACAAAAGAUCUUUUCUUUACCAUCCAGCUAAGAUUUCAACUACAAUAGGUUAGAUAAAGAAAAUCAACAGGAGCAAAAUUUACAACACUAACACAAAGGGAGAAGUACAUACUUGGAUAAUAGAGCUUAGACAACUACUAUAACAAAAAAUUUCUCAACUCGAGCUGAAGAUGUAUAAAUGAGAAGCAGUAACGGUAAGGAAGCUACAUCAAAUUCUGAUAGAAAGGGUGGAAAUGAAGAAGUGUAUUUUAGGGAACCCUAAGUCUAAGGGUAUAUGUCUUAAAAAUUG